UAACACGUAUCCAACCUGCCCUUUACUCGGGGAUAGCCUUUCGAAAGAAAGAUUAAUACCCGAUAGUAUAAUGAUUCCGCAUGGUUUCAUUAUUAAAGGAUUCCGGUAAAGGAUGGGGAUGCGUUCCAUUAGGUUGUUGGUGAGGUAACGGCCCACCAAGCCUUCGAUGGAUAGGGGUUCUGAGAGGAAGGUCCCCCACAUUGGAACUGAGACACGGUCCAAACUCCUACGGGAGGCAGCAGUGAGGAAUAUUGGUCAAUGGGCGCUAGCCUGAACCAGCCAAGUAGCGUGAAGGAUGAAGGCUCUAUGGGUCGUAAACUUCUUUUAUAUAAGAAUAAAGUGCAGUAUGUAUACUGUUUUGUAUGUAUUAUAUGAAUAAGGAUCGGCUAACUCCGUGCCAGCAGCCGCGGUAAUACGGAGGAUCCGAGCGUUAUCCGGAUUUAUUGGGUUUAAAGGGAGCGUAGGUGGACUGGUAAGUCAGUUGUGAAAGUUUGCGGCUCAACCGUAAAAUUGCAGUUGAUACUGUCAGUCUUGAGUACAGUAGAGGUGGGCGGAAUUCGUGGUGUAGCGGUGAAAUGCUUAGAUAUCACGAAGAACUCCGAUUGCGAAGGCAGCUCACUGGACUGCAACUGACACUGAUGCUCGAAAGUGUGGGUAUCAAACAGGGUUAGAUACCCUGGUAGUCCACACAGUAAACGAUGAAUACUCGCUGU
rnacentral:rRNA from 1 species